CGUUCGUGCAAGGGAGUCCCCCAUGCAUCCGCCAAGCAGCAUUGUUGAUGUUUAUAAAGCGGUGAGGAAAAGCAGCCGAAAGACAUUCCCACGGAUACAAAUAAGAACUAAUUAAUCAAAGACUGGGCUUGUUGGUUCAGAGAAAUGAUCUGGUGAUAGAACACCAAGGAUAUUGCUUAGCAUGUAUGGGAGACGUGAAGGAAGAGGAGGCUACCGAGAUGGUGGUGAUGGUGGCGGCUGGAGAGGAGAAAGUAGUGGAGGAG
rnacentral:lncRNA from 1 species